AAUAAACAGCAGGGGUGAGGGAUAGGGAAGGGAGAGAGAGAAAUCGGAAGAGGGAUGGGUCGGCGAGGAAAGGAAAGCGACGAUGAGGACGACGAUUUCCUCUACCGCUACCCUCUUCCCUCUUCAUCCUCCGCCGUUGCCUCCGGCGGCCACCACCACCACGAAGCCACCGCCGGCGGCGCCUCCAAGGGCGGAUCCGGCGGCCUCGCCCCCUCCAAAUCGACGGUAUACGUCUCCAACCUCGACUACUCUCUCACUAACUCCGAUCUCCACACCAUCUUUUCCACCUUCGGCAAGGUCGCCCGCGUCACGGUCCUCAAAGACCGGGUCUCCCGUCAGAGCCGCGGCGUCGCCUUCGUCCUCUUCGUCUCCCGCCACGACGCCGCCGCCGCCGUCCGGACUAUGGAUCGCAAGGUCCUCAACGGCCGCACCAUCUCCGUCUCCAUCGCCUCCGACAACGGCCGCGCCGCCGAGUUCAUCCGCCGGAGGGUCUACAAGGACAAGAGUCGCUGCUACGAGUGCGGCGAGGAGGGCCACCUCUCCUACGAGUGUCCUAGGAACCAGCUAGGCCCCAGGGAGCGGCCAAACCCUAAGCGGGCCCGGAGGGAUGCGCAGCGCCGUGGCGGCGGCGGCGUUAGGGAGGAUGACUGGGGAUCGGAUAGUGGGGAUGAAGCCGGGUUCGAGGAUGAUAACUGGGCAUCAAUAGUGGACACGAGGGGGGCCGAGGAGAAGGCGAGGGGGAGGGAGGAGUGGAGAGAUGAUGGGAAGGAUAGGAAGAAGAAGGCGAAGAAAGCUGGCUACUUUAGUGAUGAGAGUGGCGAGGACGACUAGUAAGGCAAGCCGAUCCGUGCAAGAACUGCAGGCGACCUGGAUGCUAUGCCAGAGAAUGCCCCAACCUUCCUCUGUAAAAAUGGAACUCAAUGCUUCAGCCAUUUUCCCCCCCUUACAAUUUGCAAGUUAAUCUCCACCGAGAUUGCAGCGAACCUGCAGCUAAGCUUGGAUCUGCUUGCUCUUGUUCUUUGUCAUCAUUUAAUUGAGGCAGCUGUUUUAUGACAAGGCAUAGAUAAGGGCUGAUUGCUAACCUGAGUCAAACUCCAUUUGUAAACUUUUGCUGCCUUGAUUCAUCUCAACUCAGAAAUCAGAUGCUGCAUACUGUGACAUGCACAUCGCCUUGGAAUGCACUGCUAAAGACGCUAUGCGGGAACUGCAAAGAGCCAGAGCCAGUGGUAUUUGUACCCUUAGAAUGAACUUGUAUGCAAACUGCGCAAUUUCGAAGGGCAGCGCCGCAAGGCAAAACCCGGAAGUACUUGGCGAAUGGGCCGGCCAUCAAGCUGGGACUGCGUGUGGAGGCCUGGUUCACCUGGCAUUUGGGUGCCCAUCUGAGAGAUACUCGUCGACGGUUUUGAACCGUUUUGAUGAACGGCAGCCAUGAGCGAGACAUGGUACGAUGAUAUACUUCAUCUCUGUCAGAUGUAUGGAAUUUUUAAAUUUUUCGUAGCAUAGAUUCUUUGAUUUGUAUUGGAGAUCGGGUCCAUUGGUUAGGAGUAUAUUUUCCAUGGCGGUAAACUAAACUACUUUUUCCACUAUGGUUUCUGCUACGUCCGAUUAAUGCUGAAUUA